CGACCGGCGCACGGGUGAGUAACACGUAUGCAACCUGGCCCUCUUCAGGGGGACAACCUUCCGAAAGGGAGGCUAAUCCCGCGUAUAUCGGUUUCGGGCAUCCGAGAUCGAGGAAAGAUUCAUCGGAAGAGGAUGGGCAUGCGGCGCAUUAGCUAGACGGCGGGGUAACGGCUCACCGUGGCGACGAUGCGUAGGGGUUCUGAGAGGAAGGUCCCCCACACUGGUACUGAGACACGGACCAGACUCCUACGGGAGGCAGCAG
rnacentral:rRNA from 1 species